rnacentral:rRNA from 1 species
AAUCAACGCUGGCGGCGUGCCUAACACAUGCAAGUCGCGCGCGAAAGGGGGGCAACUCCCAAGUAGAGCGGCGAACGGGUGAGUAACACGUGGGUAAUCUACCUUCGAGUGGGGAACAACACCGGGAAACUGGUGCUAAUUCCGCAUAACAUCGUCGGGGCUUCGGUUCUGACGCUCAAAGCUGGGGAUCGCAAGACCUAGCGCUUGAAGAUGAGCCCGCGUCCGAUUAGCUAGUUGGNGGGGUAAACGGCCCACCAAAGGCGACGAUCGGUAGCUGGUCUGAGAGGAUGGCCAGCCACAUUGGGACUGAGACACGGCCCAAACUCCUACGGGAGGCAGCAGUGGGGAAUCUUGCGCAAUGGGCAAAGCCUGACGCAGCGACGCCGCGUGAGGGAUGACGGCCUGGUU